rnacentral:pre_miRNA from 1 species
CUCGCCCGGCUCGCCGACGCCGGCGAGCUCGAGGCUCGCCAGAUCCGGCGAGCUCGAGCUCUCCCGACGCCGGCGAGCUCGAGUCUA